CUCUCCCAGCCUGAGAUGCGGGCUAUGAAAGACUACGUGGAAGCAUCUUUGGCAGCUGGUAUAAUCCAACCUUCAUCCUCCCCAGCAGGCGCAGGGUUCUUCUAGGACAAGAUCUGCAGACCCACAAACAGCGUGUUCGCCAGAUCCUACAAUGCCUGCUUGACCACCAACUCUUCAUGAAAGCGGAGGAAGUGGGAAUUUCAUGUCCCCUCCGUCUUCUCCUUGGGAUAUAUGAUCGCUGAGAGGGGAGGUGCAGAUGGAUCCAGAAAAUGUCCAGGCGGUGAAGGACUGGCCUAUAAAAUGUUUUAAAUGUAAUUCGAUUAAUGUUGAUUCAACUAAAAUGACACUUUUGA